rnacentral:rRNA from 1 species
UGGCGGCAGGCCUAACACAUGCAAGUCGAGCGGAAACGACAACAUUGACCCUUCGGGUGAUUUGUUGGGCGUCGAGCGGCGGACGGGUGAGUAAUGCCUGGGAAAUUGCCCUGAUGUGGGGGAUAACCAUUGGAAACGAUGGCUAAUACCGCAUAAUGUCUACGGACCAAAGAGGGGGACCUUCGGGCCUCUCGCUUCAGGAUAUGCCCAGGUGGGAUUAGCUAGUUGGUGAGGUAAUGGCUCACCAAGGCGACGAUCCCUAGCUGGUCUGAGAGGAUGAUCAGCCACACUGGAACUGAGACACGGUCCAGACUCCUACGGGAGGCAGCAGUGGGGAAUAUUGCACAAUGGGCGCAAGCCUGAUGCAGCCAUGCCGCGUGUAUGAAGAAGGCCUUCGGGUUGUAAAGUACUUUCAGUCGUGAGGAAGGCGUUGAAGUUAAUAGCUUCAUCGUUUGACGUUAGCGACAGAAGAAG